CGAUACGGGGAGGUAGUGACAAAAAAUAACAAUACCGGGCCCUUGUGGUUUGGUAAUUGGAAUGGGUACAAUUUAAAUCCCUUAACGAGGAUCCAUUAGAGGGCAAGUCUGGUGCCAGCAGCCGCGGUAAUUCCAGCUCUAAUAGUGUAUAUUAAAGUUGUUGCAGUUAAAAAGCUCGUAGUUGAAUGUUGGUGCCGAACAAGCGGUCAGCUUCGGUUGUACUGCUUUCUCGGCUCCUUCCUUCUGUGGACUGCGUCGCACUUAAUUGUGUGGCGUCUGGACGCAGAUCGUUUACUGUGAAAAAAUUAGAGUGUUCAAAGCAGGCCGUACGCUUGAAUACAUUAGCAUGGAAUAAUGGAAUAGGACGUCGGGCCUAUUUUGUUGGUUCUAGGACCGUCGUAAUGAUUAAUAGGGACAGUUGGGGCCGUUCAUAUUCCGUAGUCAGAGGUGAAAUUCUUGGAUUUACGGAAGAUGAACUACUGCGAAAGCAUUCGGCAAGGAUGUUUUCGUUAAUCAAGAACGAAAGUUAGGGGAUCGAAGACGAUCAGAUACCGUCGUAGUCUUAACCAUAAACUAUGCCGACUCGGGAUCAGCGGGCGUUGUUCACGACUCCGCUGGCACCGUGUGAGAAAUCAAAGUCUCUGGGUUCCGGGGGGAGUAUGGUCGCAAGGCUGAAACUUAAAGGAAUUGACGGAAGGGCACCACCAGGAGUGGAGCCUG
rnacentral:rRNA from 1 species